rnacentral:rRNA from 1 species
AGAGUUUGAUCAUGGCUCAGAUUGAACGCUGGCGGCAGGCCUAACACAUGCAAGUCGAACGGUAACAGGAAGAAGCUUGCUUCUUUGCUGACGAGUGGCGGACGGGUGAGUAAUGUCUGGGAAACUGCCUGAUGGAGGGGGAUAACUACUGGAAACGGUAGCUAAUACCGCAUAACGUCGCAAGACCAAAGAGGGGGACCUUCGGGCCUCUUGCCAUCGGAUGUGCCCAGAUGGGAUUAGCUAGUAGGUGGGGUAACGGCUCACCUAGGCGACGAUCCCUAGCUGGUCUGAGAGGAUGACCAGCCACACUGGAACUGAGACACGGUCCAGACUCCUACGGGAGGCAGCAGUGGGGAAUAUUGCACAAUGGGCGCAAGCCUGAUGCAGCCAUGCCGCGUGUAUGAAGAAGGCCUUCGGGUUGUAAAGUACUUUCAGCGGGGAGGAAGGGAGUAAAGUUAAUACCUUUGCUCAUUGACGUUACCCGCAGAAGAAGCACCGGCUAACUCCGUGCCAGCAGCCGCGGUAAUACGGAGGGUGCAAGCGUUAAUCGGAAUUACUGGGCGUAAAGCGCACGCAGGCGGUUUGUUAAGUCAGAUGUGAAAUCCCCGGGCUCAACCUGGGAACUGCAUCUGAUACUGGCAAGCUUGAGUCUCGUAGAGGGGGGUAGAAUUCCAGGUGUAGCGGUGAAAUGCGUAGAGAUCUGGAGGAAUACCGGUGGCGAAGGCGGCCCCCUGGACGAAGACUGACGCUCAGGUGCGAAAGCGUGGGGAGCAAACAGGAUUAGAUACCCUGGUAGUCCACGCCGUAAACGAUGUCGACUUGGAGGUUGUGCCCUUGAGGCGUGGCUUCCGGAGCUAACGCGUUAAGUCGACCGCCUGGGGAGUACGGCCGCAAGGUUAAAACUCAAAUGAAUUGGCGGGGGCCCGCACAAGCGGUGGAGCAUGUGGUUUAAUUCGAUGCAACGCGAAGAACCUUACCUGGUCUUGACAUCCACGGAAGUUUUCAGAGAUGAGAAUGUGCCUUCGGGAACCGUGAGACAGGUGCUGCAUGGCUGUCGUCAGCUCGUGUUGUGAAAUGUUGGGUUAAGUCCCGCAACGAGCGCAACCCUUAUCCUUUGUUGCCAGCGGUCCGGCCGGGAACUCAAAGGAGACUGCCAGUGAUAAACUGGAGGAAGGUGGGGAUGACGUCAAGUCAUCAUGCCCCUUACGGCCAGGGCUACACACGUGCUACAAUGGUCGGUACAAA